rnacentral:rRNA from 1 species
UACGAAGGGAGCUAGCGUUGUUCGGAAUCACUGGGCGUAAAGCGCACGUAGGCGGAUGUGUCAGUCAGGGGUGAAAUCCCGGAGCUCAACUUCGGAACUGCCUUUGAUACAGCACAUCUGGAGUCCGGAAGAGGUGGGUGGAAUUCCUAGUGUAGAGGUGAAAUUCGUAGAUAUUAGGAAGAACACCGGUGGCGAAGGCGGCCCACUGGUCCAGUACUGACGCUGAGGUGCGAAAGCGUGGGGAGCAAACAGG